rnacentral:lncRNA from 1 species
UAUGGUCACGCUCAGUAAUAGUUGUUCUCUAACAACUAUCCAUACUCGUCGUUCAAUAUCUCUAUACUGUAAACCACAGACUCAUCUAUCCCAAAAAAAAUGAUAUGUGCGUCAGUCUAUCCAAAUCGAUCACCAUUCUCAUGAUGAUAUUAUGAUCGAGAGCAUUUAGGAAUUAAUUAUACGUAUCUCUAAUUCUCAACAACUUGAGAAUAUGUAUCGAAGUAUUAAUUCCUUAGACGAUUCAAGAAUACAUUACUCUUAAAUAAAAAUAAAACUUAUCUUUUUAUUGAUC